rnacentral:rRNA from 1 species
GACGAACGCUGGCGGCGUGCUUAACACAUGCAAGUCGAACGGAAAGGCCCUGCCUUUGUGGGGUGCUCGAGUGGCGAACGGGUGAGUAACACGUGAGUAACCUGCCCUUGACUUUGGGAUAACUUCAGGAAACUGGGUCUAAUACCGGAUAGGAGCUCCUGCUGCAUGGUGUGGGUUGGAAAGUUUCGGCGGGUGGGGAUCGGCUCGCGGCUUAUCAGCUUGUUGGUGGGGUAGUGGCUUACCAAGGCUUUGACGGGUAGCCGGCCUGAGAGGGUGACCGGCCACAUUGGGACUGAGAUACGGCCCAGACUCCUACGGGAGGCAGCAGUGGGGAAUAUUGCACAAUGGGCGGAAGCCUGAUGCAGCAACGCCGCGUGCGGGAUGACGGCCUUCGGGUUGUAAACCGCUUUCGCCUGUGACGAAGCGUAAGUGACGGUAACUGGUAAAGAAGCACCGGCUAACUACGUG